GAUGAAGAACGUAGCGAAAUGCGAUACGUAAUGUGAAUUGCAGAAUUCAGUGAAUCAUCGAGUCUUUGAACGCACAUUGCGCCCCCUGGUAUUCCGGGGGGCAUGCCUGUCCGAGCGUCAUUGCUGCCCUCAAGCACGGCUUGUGUGUUGGGCCUCCGUCCUCCUCCCGGGGGACGGGCCCGAAAGGCAGCGGCGGCACCGCGUCCGGUCCUCGAGCGUAUGGGGCUUCGUCACCCGCUCUUGUAGGCCCGGCCGGCGCUUGCCGACACAUCAAUCUUUUUACCAGGUUGACCUCGGAUCAGGUAGGGAUACCCGCUGAACUUAAGCAUAUCAAUAAGCGGAGGA
rnacentral:misc_RNA from 1 species